CUGAUUCCAAUUACAAGUCCACCACAUGCUCCCUGCAUGCACUGAGGAGGUAAUCAACCUUCCUGAGCCUCUGUUGCUUCAUCUCUAGAAGAGUCCUCGUAAUACCUGCCAGUCUAGUAUGCAUCCCACCGAAACACAACCUCCUAUCAUUGCCUUGUCAUCAAGUCUUUGAGGGAUUGUGGAUCAGGGAUGGAAGGAGCGAAGGAGUGACAGACUCGUUGGUAAUACAGAAUGGUAAUUCAUUGUCUCAAUUGAUCUAUAAUGUUAAUCAAAUGCUUCAGGACAGAGCUUAAUUAUUGAAUUUUGGUGACUGGUGUAAAGAGCUCCUGUGUGCCACCUGCAGCCAUGACACUAGAGGCUUCUGAUUGGCUGAAGUCACCCGGGACUAGUGGUUAAAAUGUCAGUCACUGAUGCACCUCCUCAAGGAUCCAGUGUGUGUGGUCCCCUGAAGACCUAAGAACACUGGGAUGCUUGUUGACAAUACACAUUCUUCCUCUGGAUUCCACUCCUCAAAUACUACGUCAACAAACUAGAGAGGUGAACAGAUUCUGAAUUUUCUUAACAAGAUCAUGAGAAGAUUUUUGCACAGAUCUGGGCCUGAGAACCAUUGCUAGGCCAGAUGUCCAACACAGCUAAGUUCAAGAACUGCAUUCCUUUCUGGAGGCUCCAGGGAAGAAUCCAUUCCUUGCCUUUUCCAGCUUCUAGAAUCUACCCACAUUCCUUGGCCCAUGGCUUCCUUCCUCCACCUUCAAAACCAGCAACCGCAAGUUAAUUCCUCACCUCCUAUCUUAUUGACUGUUAUUCUAUGGCUUUAUCUUCCUCUCUGACUGCAGCUGGGGAAGAUUCCCCUUAAGGACUCAUAGGAUUAGAUGAACCCACCUGGAUACUACAUCCUUAACCAUAAUCACAUAGGCAAUGUCCUAUGCAUGGCAAAAGGAUCCAAGGUUUAGACAUGGAGAUCUUUAGGGGGCAAUUAUUCUACCUACCAAAAUAAUUGAGAAUGAGCAUAAGUCAAGAUUAUAAUAGCAAUAGAAUAUAUGAACAUGAAGCUCAAAAAAGUGAAAUAAAAAAUUACUGUAAAUCUUUAAAGAGACAGCCUGCUUAAAUUUUUAACAAUUGAAAACAAUGGGAGUGAAUAGACAUCUCUUGAGUAUGACACACAUUACAAAUUCUUAUAUAAUGGAUAUUUAAUUACUGAUCGAAAUUAUACCAACAGGCAAUAGAAUUAUUCUUAUCAAAUCCAUAACAUGAAAAGGUCAAAAUUCCAACUUCACAUUCUUAACUAAAGGAAGACUUUCAAUCCACAUCAGAGACUAUGUGAGACUAUCCAUGUGCACUCCUGCUGGGAAUCUGAAAAUAUUGGAGGUAGGUCAGCUUCACCCUAAGGCCAGCCCUCUCCUCUCCUCCACACCCUCUCCAGCAUCAGAACUGGACUCAAAGAAGGACAAAACUUAGAGAAGGGAGCAAAUAGAUGAAAAAGGAGCUGGCAGGGGUAGCAGGGAGGAUGCAAGCAAGAAGGUGUUGGAGAUAACUCUGCUCUUGGAAGGGUGGACACAGGGAAUGGAGAACAAACUGAAGAGCCAAAGAGAAGCCACAGCUAAUCAAUGCUGUUCUGUUAAGAAAUAUCACCUGUCAAAAGUUCUUCUAGAAUAUUCUACCUGAUUCCAUGUAGGUGUUCAACCAGUGAAUGGUAAUGCCAUUUUGGGGGUGUUUUUUGUUUCUGGGGUGGUUUUGUUUUGUUUUGUUUUUGUGUGUGUGGUGUGUGUGUGUGUUUGCCAUUUUUAGAUUGUACCAUCCCCUGCUCCAAAACAAAGGGAGAAGUGAUGGGUUUAUAGUGUAAAUUUCCCACCUUAUUAAACAUGGGGAAGUGGAAAACUAAGCCAAGAGAAGAGGAGACUUUUAUCUAAUUAUCUUUGUCCACAGAAUGUUUGCUAAUUCCUUCUCAAGGAGUAAAUGACAAAGCUACCUCACUUUUUGUAGGAUGUGUUUAGUUAGUUACACUUUAAGAUAUAAGUGUUAUGGGGGCUCCUGGGUGGCUCAGUCGGUUAAGCAUUCCACUCUUGAUAUCAGCUCAGGUCUUGAUCUCAGGGUUGGAGCUGGGCUCCAUGCUGCAUUGGACUUCACACUAGGCAUGAAACUUACUUUUAAAAAGUCUAUGUAUCCAUGUAUCUAUGUAUCUAAUC